UGAGCCAAGUUUAGGGUUUUCUCAAAACCMAAGCAGUAUUGAACUGAAGAGUUUGAUCAUGGCUC
rnacentral:rRNA from 1 species